UACGGGGGGGCAAGCGUUGUUCGGAAUUACUGGGCGUAAAGGGCUCGUAGGCGGCCAACUAAGUCAGACGUGAAAUCCCUCGGCUUAACCGGGGAACUGCCUUUGAUACUGGUGAGCUUGAGUCCGGAAGAGGUGAGUGGAACUGCGAGUGUAGAGGUGAAAUUCGUAGAUAUUCGCAAGAACACCAGUGGCGAAGGCGGCUCACUGGUCCGGUACUGACGCUGAGGCACGAAGGCCAGGGGAGCAAACGGG
rnacentral:rRNA from 1 species